GGAAGGGGUGUAUUUAUUAGAUUGGGGAACCAAUGCCCUUCGGGGCUCUCUGGUGAUUCAUAAUAACUUCACGGAUCGCACGGCCUUGCGCCGGCGAUGGUUCAUUCAAAUUUCUUCCCUAUCAACUUUCGAUGUUUGGGUCUUGGCCAAACAUGGUUUCAACGGGUAACGGAGGGUUAGGGCUCGACCCCGGAGAAGGAGCCUGAGAAACGGCUACUACAUCCAAGGAAGGCAGACAGGCGCGCAAAUUACCCAAUCCCGAUUCGGGGAGGUAGUGACAAUAAAUACUGAUACAGGGCUCUUUUGGGUCCUGUAAUUAGGAAUGAGUACAAUUUAAAUCCCUUAACGAGGAACAAUUGGAGGGCAAGUCUGGUGCCAGCAGACCGACGGUAAUUCCAGCUCCAAUAGCGUAUAUUAAAGUUGUUGUGGUUAAAAAGCUCGUAGUUGAACCUUGGGACCUGGCUGGCCGGUCCGCUCAACCGCGUGUACAUGGUCCGGCGGGUCUUUACCUCUGUGGAACGCCAUGCCCUUCACUGGGUGUGGUCGGGAAACAAG
rnacentral:rRNA from 1 species